rnacentral:lncRNA from 1 species
AAAUGUUAUCAAACUAUCGAUUACAGAUAUUUGAUUAUAUGUAUAUAUGAUUUCAAAUACUUCUAGUUUCGAAAUCAAAUUGUUUUUUUUUGGUGGGGGCCAAAAUUAUCCCCCCCCCCCUUAUAAAACACUUGGUUGAGGGCCUGUUGCCCCCUGCGGUCACUAACUUGUCCAACAACUCAAACUCUAUAGGGUCUGGGGAAUGCAAUCCACUGCCUGG